CCUACGGGAGGCAGCAGUGGGGAAUAUUGGACAAUGGGCGCAAGCCUGAUCCAGCAAUGCCGCGUGAGUGAUGAAGGCCUUAGGGUCGUAAAGCUCUUUUACCAGGGAUGAUAAUGACAGUACCUGGAGAAUAAGCUCCGGCUAACUCCGUGCCAGCAGCCGCGGUAAUACGGAGGGAGCUAGCGUUGUUCGGAAUUACUGGGCGUAAAGCGCACGUAGGCGGUUAUUCAAGUCAGAGGUGAAAGCCCGGGGCUCAACCCCGGAACGGCCUUUGAAACUAGGUAGCUAGAAUCUUGGAGAGGUCAGUGGAAUUCCGAGUGUAGAGGUGAAAUUCGUAGAUAUUCGGAAGAACACCAGUGGCGAAGGCGACUGACUGGACAAGUAUUGACGCUGAGGUACGAAAGCGUGGGGAGCAAACAGGAUUAGAUACCCUGGUAGUCCACGCCGUAAACGAUGAUAACUAGCUGUUCGGGCACUUGGUGCUUGAGUGGCGCAGCUACGCAUUAAGUUAUCCGCCGUCGGGUAGGUACGGUCGCGAAGAUUAAACUACAAUAGUAGUAGACGCGNGAGACGNGACGACGACGACGACGAGGGAGAGG
rnacentral:rRNA from 1 species